rnacentral:rRNA from 1 species
CCUACGGGGGGCAGCAGUGAGGAAUAUUGGUCAAUGGGCGUGAGCCUGAACCAGCCAAGUAGCGUGAAGGAUGACUGCCCUACGGGUUGUAAACCUCUUUUAUAAAGGAAUAAAGUGAGGCACGUGUGCCUUUUUGUAUGUACUUUAUGAAUAAGGAUCGGCUAACUCCGUGCCAGCAGCCGCGGUAAUACGGAGGAUCCGAGCGUUAUCCGGAUUUAUUGGGUUUAAAGGGAGCGUAGAUGGGUUGUUAAGUCAGUUGUGAAAGUUUGCGGCUCAACCGUAAAAUUGCAAUUGAUACUGGCAGCCUUGAGUACGGUUGAGGUAGGCGGAAUGCGUGGUGUAGCGGUGAAAUGCUUAGAUAUCACGAAGAACUCCGAUUGCGAAGGCAGCUUACUAAGCUGCCACUGACAUUGAUGCUCGAAAGUGUGGGUAUCAAACAGGAUUAGAUACCCGUGUAGUC